GGCAACGGUCCACUUGUUGUUACCGGUUUCUAGGCCGGUCUGGUAUCGAUUCAGCUCUUAACGGGCCGGUCCGAUUCAGGCCCAACAGUAAAAAACCCAAUUUAACUCGUGAACAGCCCGUUAAGCGUAAAAUCGAUUUUUACCUGUCCAAACCGGUCAAAUUCUUUUAAAAAAUAUUAAAUUUGAAUUUAUAUGUUUUUUCUAAUAUGUACUAUCU
rnacentral:lncRNA from 1 species